UGCAUUGUGGCAUAGUGGUUUGAAUGUUGGACUAUGACUUUGGAAAUCAGGGUUCAACUCCCAGCAAUGUCA